AGUGAACGCUGGCGGUAGGCCUAACACAUGCAAGUCGAACGGCAGCACGGUAAGCGCUUGCUCCUACGGGUGGCGAGUGGCGGAUGGGUGACGAAUACAUCGGCAUCUACUUUUUCGUGGGGGACAACGGAGAGCCACUUACACUACUACCGCAUACGACCUACGGGUGAAAUCAGGGGAUCUUCGGGCCUUGCGCGAUAGAAUUAGCCGAUGUCGGAUUAGCUAGUUGGCGUGGUAAAGGCACACCAAGGCGACGAUCCGUAGCUGGUCUGAGAGGAUGAUCCGCCACACUGGAACUGAGACACGGUCCAGACUCCUACGGGAGGCAGCAGUGGGGAAUAUUGGGCAAUGGGCGCAAGCCUGACGCAGCAAUGCCGCGUGAGUGAUGAAGGUCUUCGGAUUGUAAAACCCUUUUAUUAGGGAAGAAAAUCUGUGUGAUAAACCCCCCACGUUUUGACGGUACCCAAAGAGUAAGCACCGGCUAACUUCGUG
rnacentral:rRNA from 1 species